UACGUAGGGUGCGAGCGUUGUCCGGAAUUACUGGGCGUAAAGAGCUCGUAGGCGGUUUGUCGCGUUGAUCGUGAAAAUCGGGGGCUUAACCCUCGGCGCGCGGGCGAUACGGGCAGACUCGAGUACUGCAGGGGAGACUGGAAUUCCUGGUGUAGCGGUGGAAUGCGCAGAUAUCAGGAGGAACACCGGUGGCGAAGGCGGGUCUCUGGGCAGUAACUGACGCUGAGGAGCGAAAGCGUGGGGAGCGAACAGG
rnacentral:rRNA from 1 species